rnacentral:rRNA from 1 species
UACAGAGGUCUCAAGCGUUGUUCGGAUUCAUUGGGCGUAAAGGGUGUGUAGGUGGCGCCGUAAGUCGGGUGUGAAAUUUCGGAGCUUAACUCCGAAACUGCAUUCGAUACUGCGGUGCUUGAGGACUGGAGAGGAGACUGGAAUUCAUGGUGAGCGGUGAAAUGCGUAGAUAUCGUAAGGAAGACCAGUGGCGGAAGGCGGGUCUCUGGACAGUUCCGUGACGCU